CAGUCGCCGCGGGAAUACGUAGGGUGCAAGCGUUAAUCGGAAUUACUGGGCGUAAAGCGUGCGCAGGCGGUUAUAUAAGACAGAUGUGAAAUCCCCGGGCUCAACCUGGGAACUGCAUUUGUGACUGUAUAGCUAGAGUACGGCAGAGGGGGAUGGAAUUCCGCGUGUAGCAGUGAAAUGCGUAGAUAUGCGGAGGAACACCGAUGGCGAAGGCAAUCCCCUGGGCCUGUACUGACGCUCAUGCACGAAAGCGUGGGGAGCAAACAGGAUUAGAUACCCCCGUAGUCCCUGUCUCUUAUAC
rnacentral:rRNA from 1 species